GACGAACGCUGGCGGCGUGCCUAAUACAUGCAAGUAGAACGCAGUUGCGAAAGGGUGAGUAACGCGUAGGAAACUGCGACAUAGCGGGGGAAAACUAUUGGAAAGGAUAGAUAAUACCGCAUAAUGUGAGAUGGACCUGCGUUGUAUUAGCUAGUUGGUGAGGUAAAGGCUCACUAAGGCGACGAUACAUAGCCGAACUGAGAGGGUGAUCGGCCACACUGGGACUGAGCCACGGCCCAGACUCCUACGCGACGCAGCAGUAGGGAAUCUUCCGCAAUGGACGAAAGUCUGACCCAGCAUCGCCGCGUGAUUGAAGAAGGUUUUCGGAUCGUAAAACUCUGUUGUUAGAGAAGCGGUAUCUAACCAGAAAGCCACGGCUAACUACGUGCCAGCAGCCGCGGUAAUAC
rnacentral:rRNA from 1 species